CACCUCUGCAGUCCUGGAGAGUUGCUGUAGAAGAAGGAAAAGAGAGGAAGACAACACAACACAGGAGGGGAUAAGUACCUCUGGACACAAUGGAAGUAGUAGUUGUUGAGCAGAGGGAAAGGGAUAGGAGAAGGAUGUGGACUGCAGUGCUGCAGUGCCAGGAGAACAGGAUGCGGGAAACCACCUCGGUGAUUCAGUUAUCUGCACCUGGCCCCACCCUUGACACAUGUUGAUUAUUACAAUUCAAGGUGAGAUUUGGGUAGGUACACAGCCAAACCAUAUCAGCUGCCCAUUCUCCUGUGCAGUGACAUAAAGGUCUGAUAACCUGAUUUAAAGCUUGGACUCUAAGAUUUUUUUUUUUCUUUUUUUGAGUCAGGUUAUCUCUGUCGCUCAAGCUGGAGUUCAGUGGCAUGAACAGGGCUCAUUGCAGCCUCAACCUUCCAGGUUCAAGUGAUUCUCUUGCCUCAACCUCCUGAGUAUCUGGGGCUACAGGCAUGUGCCACCGUGCCAGGCUAAUAUUUUUAUUUUUAUUUUUGUAAAGAUGGGGUCUCACUUCUGGGCUCAAGCAAUCUUUCCUCAGCCUCCCAAAGUGCUGGGAUUAUAGGUGCGAGCCACUGCACCCUGCUGUAAAGAAUUUCAUAUCCCUGUUUUCGGUGUGCUGUGUCACUGUUUGCCAUGGGUAAAGGUAUAUGAAUCUCUUUUAUUUUGCUGCUUGCAACCCAAUUCCCAUGCCAAACCCAAUUUGUAUCCAAACAAACAAUAUUGGAGACAAGUUCUUCUAUAGAAAGCUUCAUAAGCCAGUUACUGACUACUGUGUCUGUAAAUAUACUCAAACUAUUUUGUAGUCUUGCUAUUUUAAAAAAUGUGUGGGUGUGGGAAGUGAUGUUGAAUGAAUUCAGGGUAAUUGGUGGUUCUUUGUAUUAGGAAAACUCACUAGUUAAGGGAAGUCUGUUUUCAUGAUUCAUGUAUGUUUAACUUAAAAAAAAAUUCUUCCAUCCUUCUCUCCAGUUUCCACUCUACCUCAUAAAUUCAAGUAAUGAAGGAAUUUAAAUAAUAGAAUUUUAUAACUGAAAGGAUUUUGGAGAGAAUCUAUUAACCCUCCUACUACAGUUGAGGAAAUAGAUGUCCAGUGAGGUCAAAUGAGAUCAUGUAGCUAGUUUAAAAACCCAAAUAACAUUUUAGUAGUUUGUUUCCAUUAGUAAACACUGUUCUGUUUGAUUUGCCCUAACAUGUUCAUAAUCAGAGUCAUAAUAAGGAAAAAUCACUAAUAUGUGUGUGGUACUUUCUUGUGCAUACCUCAGUCACUUCUCAAAAGAGGUCUGUAAGGUGUCGGUAUCCUGGUUUCCAUUCAGGGAGAGAACAGUCUAUGAGCCUAAGAGACCUGUCUGUGCCAGUCACUAUCAGAACAGUCUAAUGCUAUGUGUCUUCCUACCUUGGCAAAAGCAUUGGCUGGUCUCUGGACAGUUCUCAUAGACCACAGGAUUGGGCAGGGGGGAGCCACAUCUUCAUGUUAGGGCUCUAACCUGUACCAAUUAUUAACUGUUGUCUCUAUUUCAUCAUUUCUUAAAGGGAAAAAAAAGCACUUUUUAAAGAGCAUGAGAUUUUAAAUUUUUCAAAAGAAGGAUGCUGGAUCAUUAUAAGUAAGGCAUGUUUUAAAGAUCUUCUUAUCAACAGCUUAAAAAUUAGCCAGUAUAUACUGAACAUCCACUGUAUAAAAAGCACAUUAUGGGGUGCUCCAGUAGGUACAGCAGUGAUCGAGACAGAAUCAUAGCCUUCAGGGAAGAGGUAUAUGCAAUGUUCUCUCCUUCCAAAGAUUACCUAGAUAGAGAACUGUUCAUAAGAAAUAUCUUGGUACUGUCUACAUUACUCUUGAGAUAUAAAAUAUAUAUUAUUUCUUACGUCUGAAAUGAGUCAGUUGUUUCUAAAACAAUUUGUAUUAAAGUAUUCACAUUAAAAAUUUGUAAAAUACAGAAAAGUAGAGAGAAAAAAUCAUGAAUUUUUAACAUGGUAAUGAUUAUAUCAGUUUCGUUCUUGGCGUUUCUUUAACUUGAUGGGAUAGCUAAUGUUUUUUGUCAUUGCAUAGCUUUGUAAACUUGUCCUAAGGAUUAUAUAAUUUCAGCAUGAGUUAGUUUCUAAGUAUGUCAGAAAUCUAGCUUUUUUGUGGUAAUUGUUGUUUUACACAAAAUGAUUAAUAAAAGACUCUAAAC
rnacentral:lncRNA from 1 species